CAGUCAUCCAGAUUCGGAGGUGAUGAAGGGGCAGCAUGCAAUCAGUCAGGAAAACGUCAGACUAAGCCAUGCCAUCAAAGCACUGAGAGGAAAAGCCUUCCACAAAGAGAGACUCAAAGCCAGUGCUUAAGUUUAGACAUAUCAUGUCACUCACAGGGGAAGACUGUCCUUUCCAUCAGUUAGAAGCUUAUUAGUGUCUUAAAGAAUGAUCCAUGCAGCUGCCUGCUCCACGGGCACCAGCCCAGUGCUGCUCUCACAGCCCAUACUCUCCUCCCUCGGCCUGGCAGAGGCAGCAGGCCUGCACACCUCCAGGCUCACCAGCACACAGCACACUUGUGGGUGCCCCAAUCAACAGCACAGCCCCUCUGCCUACUGAUUUCAGAAUACACUACCUGGCUCCCCAGCUGUAUCAAAUUCAAAGAACAGGCCCCUUGAUACUCCAAACUGGCUGAAGAUAACUGGCCCUGUCUUCAGUGUAAAAAGGAUGACUCAGAGACAGAUGGUCACAGUUGCCGUCUUCCACUGACUGGGGAGAAAAUGUGUGCUUGAUGGCCCUCAGCACGUAUGAAAUCUCAAAGCUCUGGAAUUUUCAUAUUACAUAAGUAAACAUAUGUCACAGAAAA